rnacentral:tmRNA from 1 species
GGGGCUGACAAAGCUUAGACGAAUUGUUAACAGUUGUGAGGCGUGCCGAUUGAAUACCGUAAGUAUUAAUAAGUGUAAAAAACACAAAAACCGCGCAUGUUGCAUACAUGCCGGCUUAUGCCUAAUUUAUUUGUAGGCUGGUUCUGGUUCAAGACUCCGUAGGGCUAGGAUUAUCAUAUAACGGAGAUAAGGUUAUUUAAUUAGCGAGAAAUAAUUCGAAAAUUAGCUAUGGCUAUUGUUAGUUUCGUUUUCUGCAGCUAGCAAUGUGUGCCAAGAUAAAACAGAAAACUAUGUGCGUAGAAUCACAACCCUGUGACAGUACGGACGGGGAGGCAGUAUCCCCCAGCUCCACCA